rnacentral:rRNA from 1 species
UACGUAGGGGGCAAGCGUUGUCCGGAUUUAUUGGGCGUAAAGAGCGUGUAGGCGGCCAGGGAGGUCCGUUGUGAAAACUCGAGGCUCAACCUCGAGACGCCGAUGGAAACCCCCUGGCUAGAGUCCGGAAGAGGAGAGUGGAAUUCCUGGUGUAGCGGUGAAAUGCGCAGAUAUCAGGAGGAACACCAAUAGCGAAGGCAGCUCGCUGGGACGGUACUGACGCUAAGGCGCGAAAGCGUGGGGAGCGAACAGG